UUCUGAGUGCUGUCCUCCUCACCUGCUGGUGACUAGUGAUUAUGUGUUUCACCUGCUGCAACGAGCACAUUAGGGCUCACAGAAUUGUUGGCUGUGGGAUCAUUGUUUGAGUUGCUUGGAGACUGUUUUGGACUUACGAACACGAAAGCUUCCUGACAUUCCCCCCCAUCUUGGAAAGACAACCUUCCGGCAUCGUAAGCAAGCACGAAGAGGAAAGUAAAACGUUGGAGCAAACGGAAGUCCAGAGAGUGAGGUCGGCACGAUUUGGUCACGCUGCAAAUCUGGAACUUUUGAGCCAAGCUAUGUCGAAUUAAUGGAUUGCCCAAUCAACUAGAAAAGUCUGCAGCCAGCUUGACCCAACGGACAACUGUCCAUGGAGUGAGUCACUAUACUAUUGUUCAUAAUACAUGCAGCACAUCACCGUACACUACAGUACAUACACUGUGGAGCUAGCUGUGUACAAACAAAACAUGAAACCUGAGCUAAUACUUUACAGAUACUGUCAUGACUUUUCAUGUUUUUCAUUCAGUAUGCAUUGUGUUGCGCAUUACAAAUUCAAACCUGUUUUGUUCUGACAUAGAAGCUAGCUUAUCUCUUGCCGUAGUUAGCUUUUACAGCUAAUACAGUAGCACGCCGAUGUGUUACUACGAUAGAAAAAUAAUUUCUCUGUGUUCGCAUAUACAAUAACAAUGUUGCUACAGUUUGGUUAUUAUACAGGUCACGGAAUAAAUGAUGUAUCGUUGACCGUUUUUGAAUGCAUUUCUGAAGGGAUUUGCUUGCCACCUAGAACGAGACAGUUUUUAUAUGUUAGAAAGCGAAAUAAACAACAACCUUUUGUCU